rnacentral:rRNA from 1 species
CAGCCCUAAACGAUGCGCGUUAGGUGUAUCGGUGACCACGAGUCACCGAGGUGCCGAAGGGAAACCGUGAAACGUGCCGCCUGGGAAGUACGGUCGCAAGGCUGAGACUUAAAGGAAUCGGCGGGGGAGCACCACAACGGGUGGAGCCUGCGGUUUAAUUGGACUCAACGCCGGGAAGCUCACCGGAUAAGACAGCGGAAUGAUUGCCGGGCUGAAGACCCUGCAUGACCAGCUGAGAGGAGGUGCAUGGCGUCAGUGACU